GACGAACCGUCCAAACGUUGUUCGGAAUCACUGGGCUUAAAGGGCGCGUAGGCGGGGCAGCAAGUCUAGGGUGAAAUCCUCCGGCUUAACCGGAGAACUGCCUUGGAUACUGCUAAUCUCGAGGGAGGUAGGGGUCUGUGGAACUGAUGGUGGAGCGGUGAAAUGCGUUGAUAUCAUCAGGAACGCCGGUGGCGAAAGCGACGGACUGGACCUUCACUGACGCUGAGGCGCGAAAGCUAGGGGAGCAAACGGG
rnacentral:rRNA from 1 species